rnacentral:rRNA from 1 species
AGUGAACGCUGGCGGUAGGCCUAACACAUGCAAGUCGAACGGCAGCACAGUAAGAGCUUGCUCUUACGGGUGGCGAGUGGCGGACGGGUGAGGAAUACAUCGGAAUCUACUAUUUCGUGGGGGAUAACGUAGGGAAACUUACGUUAAUACCGCAUACGACCUACGGGUGAAAGCAGGAGAUCUUCGGACCUUGCGUGAUUGAAUGAGCCGAUAUCGGAUUAGCUAGUUGGCGGGGAAAAGGCCCACCAAGGCGACGAUCCGUAGCUGGUCUGAGAGGAUGAUCAGCCACACUAGAACUGAGACACGGUCCAGACUCCUACGGUAGGCAACGGUGGGGAAUGUAGUACAAGGGGCUCGAGGCUGAUCCAGCCAUACCGCGUGGGUGAAAAAGGCCUUCGGGUUUGAAAGCUCUUUUGUUGGGAAAGAAAAGCAGCAGGUUAAUACCCCGCUGUUCUGACGGUACCCAAAGAAUAAGCACCGGCUAACUUCGUG